rnacentral:rRNA from 1 species
UGCCACGGACAAAAGUUCACUGGAAAGUGACGCCGUAGAGGGUGAUAGCCCCGUUUACGUCCACCGGCACUAUAAUUUUAUUCCAAAGAGUCGGGUUGUUUGGGAAUGCAGCUCAAAGUGGGUGGUAAAUUCCAUCUAAAGCUAAAUAUUGACGAGAGACCGAUAGCGAACAAGUACAGUGAUGGAAAGAUGAAAAGAACUUUGAAAAGAGAGUGAAACAGUACGUGAAAUUGUUGAAAGGGAAGGGGAG